rnacentral:sRNA from 1 species
GCUGUCCCAGUCUCAUCCUGGCCCCCCUCCCUCCUAACUCCGCUGUCACUUCUCUCCUCUUGGUCCCUAGAAGUGAGAGUCCUGAGGCACAGGAAGAGCACCAAGUCUUUCAACAUGAUGUCCCCGACGGGUGACAACUCGGAGCUACUGGCUGAGAUUAAGGCAGGCAAGAGCCUGAAGCCGACGCCGCAGAGCAAGGGGCUGACCACAGUGUUCUCAGGCAGCGGGCAGCCGGCCUUCCAGCCCGAUUCCCCGCUGCCGUCUGUGUCACCUGCACUGUCACCAGUCCAGAGCCCCACACCGCCAGCUGCGGGGUUUCAGCCGCUGCUCAAUGGAAGCUUGGUUCCCGUGCCGCCCACU